UACCCCAACUUUAAUUAAUAGAGAAAUAUUAAUUAUAGGUAAUUAUUGGAGACUAAAGGGAGAUAAGUGAAUGAGUAUGAAAAGAUAAUUAAAGGGCAUAAGUACAAUUUGGUAAUAAGUGAGGGACAAAAGAGACAUUACCAUAGGCAAAAAGGGGCUUUUGAAGAUAAUGGUAUAUAAAUAGAAUAAGAAGGCUAAAAGAAUCAGACCACUCAUUCAUCUUCUUCCUUGGUGGCCGAAAAUCAAGCUCCCACCUUGGUGAGUUCAAAACUCUCCCGUUUCAUGAACUGAAGCUUUGCAUGCAUUAAUCCCAUCCUCCUUUCACCUUGUCAAGAAGCAUGGUAAGACAAAUUUCAAAUCCUCUCUUCUUCUCUGUUUUGUCCUCUCCAUCUAUCAAGAAUACAAAUCUGAUUUGGGUUGAUUUAAGUGCAAAAAGAGAACUUGCAUGUAUGAUUCAAAGCUUGAUAAUGAUGAUUUGUGGUAAUAAGAAGUAACAUUGAAGAUUGAAAUCCAAACUGUUAGUAAUAAGUGGAAGAAGCAAGGUUUUAGGGGAAGUGAAGAACGAAGCAGCGGAUUGAAUCCCCGUAAUAUCGCCUAGUGAGUAUGUCCGUCGCCCAACAAGGACUAUAGGACCUGCUACUGCUGAUUGUUGUUGUUUACAUCUCUGUCAAGCCACUCUUGGUCAAUGGUAAGAAAACCAAAGCUCUUAUCCUUGUCUUUAGAAAUGUUCCAUUCCUUUAGUGUUAGAAAUUCUACUAAUCACAUCUUUGGUAACUGUAUGUGAUAUGUUUGGGGUAAGAGACUUGAUUAAAUGUUUGGAGCUUGACUUUGAAGGAAAAGUGAAAGCUGUGAAGGUAAGGAAAAUAUUCUGCAUAAUUUUCGUAUGGACAUACUCUCAGUAAUUGGGUGAUAUCUGUCAAACCGUAACUCCGUUUUGAAUGGUGUUUACAUGUAUGGAAAGCUGACGAAAUUCUCGUCGUCUAGAUGCCAAUUUCGUAGAAUGUGGAUGAAUAUUGAGGUCUGGAGGCCAGUUUGAAGUUGAAGGUCUGAGAUGGAGAUUAUGCAGAAAAAUUAGGAUGCGGGUUUAAUGUACUUUCGCUGGAAAUUCUGUUUUUCGGCGAGCUCCGAAGAUGUCGUUAGCACGAUUCAGGCAUCAUGUUCAGAUAAACAGGUUGAUCAAGAUAUCAUGGUCUGCAAGCAUGGAGUUCAGAUACUUGGAUUAUGCUAGUUGAGCUGACGUCAUGUUAUCUUAUAUUUGUAUAUGAUUUAGUUUCUUUAUGUUUUCAGUUGUUAGCUCAAUUUAGUAUUAAUCUCUUGGAUUUUGUAAUCCUAUUUAUGUAUUCGGACAAUAUGUGAUGAAAAUUUAAUGUUUCCUGAUUCAGUUA